rnacentral:lncRNA from 1 species
CAUAUUUCCAGACCUCUUCAGGGAGAGGGCGUUUGACUCUGCUGAUGGGAACUUUGGCAGUUCUGUUUCUGAAGGCUGCAAAAAUGACGCGUGCUGGAUUCAGAAUAGGCAGAAGGUAAGCGGCCACGAGUGACCUUGGAAACCUGAAGAGCCACUAAAGUCCUCUGAAACUUCUGUGUACAAGUUUAUGCCUCUGUGUACAGACUGGACCCCAGCCCGUUCACUGCGUGAGAGUGAGCAGAUUGGUGAAGCGUCUGCGAGCCGAUCAGUGAUUUCAGCUAAUCAGGGAACAGUUUGCAACAACCCCAUCCUUCUAACUUCCUGGCCUCUCCUGCUGUCGUGUAGACAGUUUUUGCUGCAGAUAAGGUGGACAUUAGGCAGUACAUCAAAUGUGUCUUCUUGGAUGCCAUUUCCAGCUGGGCUCUGCUGCUUAUUCUCAGUCUGCCCAAGCCUCCUGCCUCCAGUCCAUCCUCCACCUCUCUUUGCUGCUCUGGGACUGUGUAAACCACACUCCACUUGUCCUCUGGCUCUUGGCUGAGUUUUGCUAGUAAGAAGCACUGGUAAGAGACUGGAGGGUGGGGAGAGAGGCAGGGAUGUUUAUUCCUUCCCCCUUCCUUCCUUCCUUAGACCACUCCAGUGGGAACAAACUGUUUAAAACAUUUUUAGACUUCAUGGCAGGAACAUCAGAUUGGUAACUGGAAGAAGUUAGAUUGUAAAUAAUUGUGCCGUUUAAUUUUUUAUAAUUGCAAAAUUCUGUUCUUUGAUAUCAACUUAUUAAUAUUUCUAACAUGUUUGAGUUUCUCAGAAACAUAUCCAAGCCUCAGUUUCUUCAUCUGUAAAAUGGAGACAAUACCAGUACCUACUUCAAGGACUGCUGAGAUGAUUUAAUAAACUAGUGAACGGUGAGCA